rnacentral:rRNA from 1 species
CCUACGGGUGGCAGCAGUGAGGAAUAUUGGUCAAUGGACGCAAGUCUGAACCAGCCAUGCCGCGUGCAGGAAGACGGCUCUAUGAGUUGUAAACUGCUUUUGUACGAGGGUAAACGCAGAUACGCGUAUCUGUCUGAAAGUAUCGUACGAAUAAGGAUCGGCUAACUCCGUGCCAGCAGCCGCGGUAAUACGGAGGAUUCAAGCGUUAUCCGGAUUUAUUGGGUUUAAAGGGUGCGUAGGUGGUCGGAUAAGUUAGAGGUGAAAUUCCGAGGCUCAACGUCGAAAUUGCAGUUGAUACUGGUAGGCUUGAGAGUAGUUGCGGUAGGCGGAAUGUAUGGUGUAGCGGUGAAAUGCUUAGAGAUCAUAAAGAACACCGAUUGCGAAGGCAGCUUACCAAGCUACUUCUGACGCUGAGGCACGAAAGUGUGGGGAGCAAACAGGAUUAGAUACCCGUGUAGUC